rnacentral:rRNA from 1 species
AGAACGAACGCUGGCGGCAGGCCUCAAACAUGCAAGUCUAGGGGAUGUAGCAAUACAUCACCGGCGGACGGGUGCGUAACACGUGGGAAUAUACCUUUCGGUACGGAACAACUGCGGGAAACUGCAGCUAAUACCGUAUACGUCCUUACGGAGAAAGAUUUAUCGCCGAAGGAUUAGCCCGCGUUCGAUUAGCUAGUUGGUGAGGUAAUGGCUCACCAAGGCGACGAUCGAUAGCUGCUCUGAGAGGAAGAUCAGCCACACUGGGACUGAGACACGGCCCAGACUCCUACGGGAGGCAGCAGUUGGGAAUCUUGGACAAUGGGGGAAACCCUGAUCCAGCCAUGCCGCGUGAGUGAUGAAGGCCUUCGGGUUGUAAAGCUCUUUUACCCGGGAAGAUAAUGACUGUACCGGAGAAUAAGCUCCGGCUAACUUCGUGCCAGCAGCCGC